rnacentral:lncRNA from 1 species
CAACUAGUGUUCUACAUUGACGAUAUAUGACGACAACGCACUAACAAUCAUUCAUGAACUAUUCCAAUGUUAGAUGUAUUGACUAUUGACUGUAGCAGUUACACAGAUCAAUCAUAGUAUGCCGAGCACGGGACUUGCAUUUACAACACUUGGAUAGCAACUAGUGUUCUACAUUGACGAUAUAUGACGACAACGCACUAACAAUCAUUCAUGAACUAUUCCAAUGUUAGAUGUAUUGACUAUUGACUGUAGCAGUUACACAGAUCAAUUAUAGUAUGCCGAGCACGGGACUUGCAUUUACAACACUUGGAUAGCAACUAGUGUUCUACAUUGACGAUAUAUGACGACAACGCACUAACAAUCAUUCAUGAACUAUUCCAAUGUUAGAUGUAUUGACUAUUGACUGUAGCAGUUACACAGAUCAAUCAUAGUAUGCCGAGCACGGGACUUGCAUUUACAACACUUGGAUAGCAACUAGUGUUCUACAUUGACGAUAUAUGACGACAACGCACUAACAAUCAUUCAUGAACUAUUCCAAUGUUAGAUGUAUUGACUAUUGACUGUAGCAGUUACACAGAUCAAUCAUAGUAUGCCGAGCACGGGACUUGCAUUUACAACACUUGGAUAGGAACUAGUGUUCUACAUUGACGAUAUAUGACGACAACGCACUAACAAUCAUUCAUGAACUAUUCCAAUGUUAGAUGUAUUGACUAUUGACUGUAGCAGUUACACAGAUCAAUCAUAGUAUGCCGAGCACGGGACUUGCAUUUACAACACUUGGAUAGCAACUAGUGUUCUACAUUGACGAUAUAUGACGACAACGCACUAACAAUCAUUCAUGAACUAUUCCAAUGUUAGAUGUAUUGACUAUUGACUGUAGCAGUUACACAGAUCAAUCAUAGUAUGCCGAGCACGGGACUUGCAUUUACAACACUUGGAUAGCAACUAGUGUUCUACAUUGACGAUAUAUGACGACAACGCACUAACAAUCAUUCAUGAACUAUUCCAAUGUUAGAUGUAUUGACUAUUGACUGUAGCAGUUACACAGAUCAAUCAUAGUAUGCCGAGCACGGGACUUGCAUUUACAACACUUGGA